GAUGAACGCUGGCGGCGUGCUUAAGACAUGCAAGUCGAACGGAGUGUGUAGCAAUACUCACUGAGUGGCGAAUGGGUGAGUAACACGUAGGUGACCUGCCCUGAAGUGCGGAAUAACAGUCCGAAAGGAUUGCUAAUACCGCAUGUGGUCCCGGGCGUUAGAGAACCGGGUCUAAAGCAGUAAUGCGCUUCAGGAGGGGCCUGCGGUCCAUCAGCUAGNGGUAGGGUAAUGGCCUACCAAGGCAACGACGGAUAGGGGACCUGAGAGGGUGGCCCCCCACAUUGGCACUGACACACGGGCCAAACUCCUACGGGAGGCAGCAGUCGGGAAUAUUGGUCAAUGGGCGAAAGCCUGAACCAGCAACGCCGCGUGCACGAUGAAGG
rnacentral:rRNA from 1 species